UCUGGUGACAAUGGCAAGGAGGUCACACCUGUUCCCAUGCCGAACACAGAAGUUAAGCUCCUUAGCGCCGAUG
rnacentral:rRNA from 2 species